CCCGGUCCUCGUCGAUCCACCCAAUGGCCACGCUCUGGGUCCGCAGCCUGACGCCGCCGGGCGCCCUAGGCGGGCCGGCGCGGGAGGCCAGCCUGAUGAGCUCCCUCACGUCGUUGUCGGCCCCGCUGCCAACCGGUAGAACUCGUGGCUCUGGCAUCGCGGCAACGCCACCAGCCCCACUAGGCCUCCUCCCCGACCACCACCACCCGCACACGCCGCCAUCCGACUCACGUACAGGUCCCGUGCGCGGAUGAGCACGCGGAACGGUGCGCGCGCGCACCACCCAGCACUGCCAGCACUCGCA
rnacentral:lncRNA from 1 species